rnacentral:tRNA from 1 species
AUCCGUCGAUUUUAAAUCAUGAGGGUUAAGUCCCUUUACCCCCA